AACAUGAGAGUUUGAUUCUGGCUCAGAACGAACGCUGGCGGCAUGCCUAACACAUGCAAGUCGAACGAGACCUUCGGGUCUAGUGGCGCACGGGUGCGUAACGCGUGGGAAUCUGCCCUUAGGUUCGGAAUAACUCAGGGAAACUUGAGCUAAUACCGGAUAAUGACGUAAGUCCAAAGAUUUAUCGCCUAAGGAUGAGCCCGCGUAGGAUUAGCUUGUUGGUGGGGUAAAGGCCUACCAAGGCGACGAUCCUUAGCUGGUCUGAGAGGAUGAUCAGCCACACUGGGACUGAGACACGGCCCAGACUCCUACGGGAGGCAGCAGUGGGGAAUAUUGGACAAUGGGCGAAAGCCUGAUCCAGCAAUGCCGCGUGAGUGAUGAAGGCCUUAGGGUUGUAAAGCUCUUUU
rnacentral:rRNA from 1 species